rnacentral:snRNA from 1 species
CGGCGGAUUGGUAGAGGA